rnacentral:misc_RNA from 1 species
UCUCCGUUGGUGAACCAGCGGAGGGAUCAUUACCGAGUUUACAACUCCCAAACCCAAUGUGAACCAUACCAAACUGUUGCCUCGGCGGGGUCACGCCCCGGGUGCGUCGCAGCCCCGGAACCAGGCGCCCGCCGGAGGGACCAACCAAACUCUUUCUGUAGUCCCCUCGCGGAUGUUAUUUCUUACAGCUCUGAGCAAAAAUUCAAAAUGAAUCAAAACUUUCAACAACGGAUCUCUUGGUUCUG